CAUUGUCCCUAAUUUCACUUCUCUCUCUGUAAAUCAACCCUAAAUCUUCCAUCUCUAAACCCUCAAUGGAUCCGACACCUUCUUCUACCAAAUCCAAUCACAGCCACCAAAACCUAACCAAAACCCCAUAACCCAGCCAUCAACUCCAGUUCUUAAAAGCCUACCCGUCACCAAACCCCGAGUCAACCCUAAAAGAAUCUCCGUCGGAGCACCCGGACGAAUUCUUCGCUCGAAUCCAAGACUAGAAGCUAAAGAAGAAGGCCUCCACGUUCCUCUUGGCCCCAAUUGAUGCCUCUAGAGAGAGCCUCCUCACGGCUCAUCGAUUACUCAGUACGUCUCUUUCUCGAAAUGGAUUAAUUUGGUUGUUUGUUUUGACAGUGGAUGGUACGAAUCAGUGUUGUUAUCAGGUAUUGCGCUGUGGAAGACCGGAGUUCAUUCGUUGCUUUUCAAGCCAAUACCAGUGUUGUUAUCAGUCGGGAACUUUCCAGGAAUCGUAAUUGCAGAGGAGCCAGAGUGGAAAGAUAGCAUUCGAGGUUCAAUUGGUGUUGUAAAUAUGGCUGGAAUGCCCAUUAGUACAAGAUGGACUUCUGUGGUUUACUACCUUUACCUUUCUUUUGGUUAUCCUACCUGUCUUUUUACAGUAAGUAGUGACAAUAUGAAAAGAAGUUCUCGAUAACUCUUGUUUUGUUACUUUAUAGUAAGCAUACAUCAAGUACUCAUUACAGAUAUAGAGAUGGUAAAAGAAAUUAGCCUGCGUACAUCUUUGAGCUUGGGGAUUUCCUUUUAUCUAGCUAAGGACCGCUAGCCACUAUUCGACCAAGGCAUUCUAGCUUCAAAUGGGUCAGUUUGGUCUUACCAGUGGAAGAUUUUUAGCUUUGCAUCACAUCUGCCUUGUUUUUAUUUUUCUCUGACUUUGGGAUCCAUAGUAUGGUAGGCCUCAUGUGAGCUGUACCCGUCCCAAGCCUCCCAGAAAGGUCCCCAAGUCACCUCAUAAGGUUGGAAGUAGUUCUUUUGUUCAUAGUGUACCUUGCUUAUGGAUAUGAUGAUGGCAGUGCUCUAUCAUACAUUCUUCUUACAAUGACCAGUUGGUUCAUGGCACUUUCUUGGCUUUUUGCUCCCUAUUUGUUCAACCCAUGCCCAUCUGGGUUUGAGUGGCAGAACUGAAAGAUUGGUGGGCAUUUGGGUGGAGUUUGCUUAGUCUACAUUACGUGAAAUUAAAAGAACUUUUUGUUUCUGGGGAGCGCAAAUGUUUCCAAAGAUUGAUUGGAAUACUAUUGCAGUUGAGAUUAUUGAUUUGCUGGGUAUUUGAAAACAGAGAGAUAAAGUCAUUUAUAUGAGAUAUUGAAAGCCUGGAUGAAGUGAAGAAGAGGUUCAAGGAAGAGUAGUUGUUCAGCCUUUAGUGAUAUUGUUCUCAAUGUUGUUCUUGUGUUUUAAUGUAUGAAUGAUUGAAAAAUACUAUGUUUAUGGUACAUUUGAUGCUUUAAUGUAUGGAUUGGAGUACUUGAAUUGAUGAA